UACGAAGGGGGGCUAGCGUUGCUCGGAAUCACUGGGCGUAAAGCGCACGUAGGCGGAUUGUUAAGUCGGGGGUGAAAUCCUGGAGCUCAACUCCAGAACUGCCUUCGAUACUGGCGAGGCUCGAAUCCGGGAGAGGGAUGUGGAAUUCCAGGUGUAGAGGUGAAAUUCGUAGAUAUUCGCAAGAACACCAGUGGCGAAGGCGGCUCACUGGCCCGGUACUGACGCUGAGGUGCGAAAGCGUGGGGAGCAAACAGGG
rnacentral:rRNA from 1 species